AUUGUUUGAAAAUGAUUUCUCAUACACAUAUUAGGAAGUACGUCACUGUUGAGAUGUGAGAUGUGCCACAUGAAUUUCAUCACUUUAGUUUGUCAGACCUCACUAUGUGUGUGACAGUUUCUGCUGUAGACAGUUUACGUUACCGUCUAAGGUGAUCAGUAGUGUGUGAGUUCUCACAUGGCUUGUCCUGAGAACAUGUUUUUUCUCAUUGGCCUCUUUAUAUCAGGUGAGUCUUCCACACAACAACAACUAGUUAUGAAUCAGAGAUAAAGGAAUAACCACAAGUCAUUAUAUUUAUGGGAUGUGCUAUAUUCCAGCUUUUUAAUUGUGUAGAAAAGUGUACAGUUAAUUCCUGAUUAGUGUAUUUAAUAGUCUGGAUUCAAACUGCUGUGAAAAAGUUUUUGCAUGUUUUUGAUACUGAAUGUUAUCAGAUAUUCAAUCAAAAGCUGAUAUUAGAUAAAUGGAACCUGAGUGAACUAACAACACAACAAUGACGUACUUAUUUCAUUUAUUUCUUCAACAAAGUUAUGCAACACCCAAUGCCCCUGUGUGAAAAAGUAAUUGCCCCUUAUACUCAAUAACUGGUUGUGCCUCCUUCAGCUGAAAUGACUCCAACCAAAUGCUUCCUGUAGUUGUUGAUCAGUCUCUCACGUUGCUGUGGAGGGAUUUUGGCAAACUCUUCCAUGCAGAACUGCUUUAACUCAGCAACAUUUGUGGGUUUUCAAGCGUUUGUGGGUUUUCAAGCUCGUUUCAAAUCCUGCCACAAUAUCUCAAUUGGGAUUAGGUCUGGACUUUUAGUAGAACAUUCCAAAACUUUAAAUUUGUUGCUUUUUAUCAACUCUCAUGAAAACUUGAUUGUGUGUUUUGAAAUGGUGGCACAACCAGUCAUUGAGUGUAAGGGAGAAAUUCCCUUUUAACACAGAGGAAUUGUUUGUUGCAUUACUUUGUUAAUGUAAUAAAUGAAGAACUAUAAAAAAAAGUGUUAUUUGGUAAAUCAAGUGCCCUUUAUCUAAUAUUAGGUUUUGGUUGAAGAUCUGACAUUUUGUAUAAAUUCAUGAAAUAAUAGAGAACCGGAAAGGGGGUCAAUACUGUUUAGUUUCACUGUAUGUUCAUGUGAAACCGACGUCAGUAUGCGGUUAACAGUAUAUCUUCCACCACUGUCCCUGUCCCCAUACCGGGCUCAAACUAGUGGUCAUCUGCUCACAAACACACGUCACCUCACACCUUGACAACACACCAACCAAUUGAAAAAUCACCUGUACAUUGAAAUAAAUUAAUAUUAAUGUUAUUGGGAGAGACUGUACCAAUGAUGUGUAUAAACCCUGGAUCGCUGAUUCUAUGUAACGGCCAAUGAGAGACUAUGAAACCACCGGUCUCUAUAUAUGGUACUCCCCAGAAGAAGCAGUCCUCCAUGAUAAUUAAUGGAAUUCUACAGUAUUUAAAUAAAAUGUUUCAAGGACUAUAUUACAUGUAUUUAAGCAUUUUGUUGUAGAAGGGACAGUAAAGUUAGUACUCUAUAAAUAAAAUACUUUAAUAUCUUUACAUGUUUAUUUAUUUUAUUUGUUAUGUUCAGGUGAUAUAAAAAGCAUUAUCUGGAGCACACCCAGAGAAAAUGACUUAUUGUAGAGGUGCUGACUAACGGUGAAUACACUGUAAGCUAUAAAAACAAAGACAGUUGCACAAUCUAUAUAUAUAUAUAAACUCCCAGUAAUUUAUUGGGUAAAACACCAACGUUUCGGCAUCACUGUUCCUUCUUCAGGGUAAAGUCAUGAAUGCUUGAACCAGGUUAUGUAGACAAACAGUGCAAUUAGUGCAACAAUGACAACAGUGAGGGGUGUGUCAUAAUUAUGAGGUUCAUUAGAGUGAAUUGAGUGAAACUGUUAAAAUGGUAGUUUACAGCAUAUUGACUAUAUUAGGCUGUUGUUAUCAUUAACAUUAGUAUAAGAUUAGCAUCAACAUACAUUAUUGUUUAAUAUAAUUUCACAUAUAUUUAAUUGUUCCCAAUUUCAUUAAACGUUAUAAAAUUGUAAUCUUUUGGUUCAUCAAUAAUGCAUAAUAAGCAUCAUCAACAGGGGGAACAUAUUGGUUCUACGCUGAUAAGAUGUAGAAAGAAUAUAUUCAUUUAAACGACUUCUUCAUAAAAAUAAUUGUUCAUAAAAAGAGCCAGAGAUCAAAGUCAGUAUUCUGACCACUAGGGGUCAAUGUUUUUAAAUAGGAAAUCCAGUAGGCCUCCCUCUGUUGUAGUAGGAUCUCCAUGUUACCUCCUCUCCUUGGUAGAGCAACAUGCUCAAUACCUGUGUAUUUGAGGGAGGAGAUGGGAUGGUUAGCUUCAACAAAGUGAGCUGCUACUAGAUAAUCAGUGUUCUUACAGCUAUGCA
ensembl:lncRNA